AGUGAACGCUGGCGGCAGGCCUAACACAUGCAAGUCGAGCGGCAGCGGGUCCCCGCGAGGGGAGUGCCGGCGAGCGGCGGACGGGUGAGGAACACAUCGGAAUCUGCCUGGUUGUGGGGGAUAACGUAGGGAAACUUACGCUAAUACCGCAUGAGACCCUGAGUCGACGGACUGGGGGUGAAAGUGAGGGACCUUCGGGCCUCACGCGACCAGAUGAGCCGAUGUCGGAUUAGCUAGUUGGCGGGGUAACGGCCCGCCAAGGCGACGACCCGUAGCUGGUCUGAGAGGAUGAUCAGCC
rnacentral:rRNA from 1 species